rnacentral:rRNA from 1 species
GACAGAGGGGGCAAGCGUUGCUCGGAAUUACUGGGCGUAAAGGGCGCGUAGGCGGGAUGGCAAGUCGGUCGUGAAAUCCCUCGGCUCAACCGAGGAACGUCGAUCGAUACUGCUGUUCUUGAGGAUUGCAGAGGAGACUGGAAUUCCCGGUGUAGCGGUGAAAUGUGUAGAGAUCGGGAGGAACACCGGUGGCGAAGGCGGGUCUCUGGGCCUGCACUGACGCUCAUGCACGAAAGCGUGGGGAGCAAACAGG